GACGAACGCUGGCGGCGUGCCUAAUACAUGCAAGUUGAGCGCUGAAGGUUGGUACUUGUACCAACUGGAUGAGCAGCGAACGGGUGAGUAGCGCGUGGGGAAUCUGCCUUUGAGCGGGGGACAACAUUUGGAAACGAAUGCUAAUACCGCAUAAAAACUUUAAACACAAGUUUUAAGUUUGAAAGAUGCAAUUGCAUCACUCAAAGAUGAUCCCGCGUUGUAUUAGCUAGUUGGUGAGGUAAAGGCUCACCAAGGCGAUGAUACAUAGCCGACCUGAGAGGGUGAUCGGCCACAUUGGGACUGAGACACGGCCCAAACUCCUACGGGAGGCAGCAGUAGGGAAUCUUCGGCAAUGGACGAAAGUCUGACCGAGCAACGCCGCGUGAGUGAAGAAGGUUUUCGGAUCGUAAAACUCUGUUGGUAGAGAAGAACGUUGGUGAGAGUGGAAAGCUCAUCAAGUGACGGUAACUACACAGAAAGGGACGGCUAACUACGUG
rnacentral:rRNA from 1 species